UAUAUAUUCGCUGCUUUAAAAUACUUCGAAAUACUUCGGAAAUACUUUUAACUAUUUUUACCUAAAUAUUAAAAUUUUAUAGAAUAUCUAAAAAAAUGUAUGUAGUGUUUCUAAAAGUUUAAAAGCAGCGAAUUUAAAGCGCGAAAAUAUCGACCCGCGGGACACACAAUAAAUCUACAACACAAGUUGGUUUGAUGCUUCUCUCUGAUAUUCCAAAAGAAGAAAUUUUCCAGCGAGGACAAUUUGCUUAGAAAUCCGGAAUAAAUUCAGAGUUGUUACGCAUCGAUGCCGCUUAUCGCCUUUAUCGCAAAGAGAACUAUACUAUCAUACCCCGAGCGUGAAUCAACCUUUACGCUCAUACCCCUCGAUUCUCCCCUAUGUUGCGUUUCUACCGUGUGUUCAACCACAUAGCGAGACGCUAUCGCCUUCUAUAUCCAAACUCCACGACAAGUGCGCCAAAGUAAUCGAGUCAGGCCGCCAUAUGCCUUCGCCUACGACACGCGAUCGUAAGCAUUGAACUUCUCGCGUGAAACAUCAAUGUUUCUUCUGCUAACGUUGGGACGUAUGUUUCUUCGUUGUAUUUGCAACGUUGUAUGGUGCAUCUAAAUUCGCCCCGGACAGAUGAAGAUGAAGAUUAUACAGUCGGAUUUUACAACGGAAAGUUGCGCUUUCUAGAAAUGAAGUUCAACGUAUUUGUAAGAAAGUUCACGACGUUAUAGUCUCACGAGGGGAUUGCAAUCCUUGAUGGCGCGUCGAGUUGCGAAAUAAAGAAACGAGGGUAUAAGCAAGAUAUACCAGGAAAUAUAUUUGCGCGUUGAGACUUUACGACAACGAUAGAGAGUAAAGCUACGAAAUAAGCGAAACUAGUUCCUUAACUAUGCGACGAGACCAUUGGUAAUAAACUUCCGUGAUCUAAAUCAUCUGCAUUACGUACGUAAAACAUUGUUCUUUGAAUUCAAAAAUAAAAAUCGGAAACAUAUACAUUAUAUUUUAUAUAAAAUGAUAGAAAUUGCAUUAAAAAAACUGAAAGAAUUAUUUGUAAAAAUUCAUCCAGACAGUGACUAUUUACUUCUUUCAAUAUAUAUACACAUAUGAGGGAGAGAGAGAGAGAGAG